AUUGAACGCUGGCGGCAGGCUUAACACAUGCAAGUCGAACGAGUGGCGGACGGGUGAGUAAUGCUUGGGAAUCUAGCUUAUGGAGGGGGAUAACUACGGGAAACUGUAGCUAAUACCGCAUACCAUUGGAUGAGCCCAAGUGGGAUUAGGUUGUUGGUGAGGUAAAGGCUCACCAAGCCGACGAUCUCUAGCGGGUCUGCGAGGAUGACCAGCAAGCCUGGGACUGAGCCACGGCCCAGACUCCUACGGGAGGCAGCAGUGGGGAAUAUUGCGCAAUGGGGGCAACCUGACGCAGCCAUGCCGCGUGAAUGAAGAAGGCCUUCGGGUUGUAAAGUACUUUCGGUAGCGAGGCGUUACCUACAGAAGAAGCACCGGCUAACUCCGUGCCAGCAGCCGCGGUAAUAC
rnacentral:rRNA from 1 species